AAAAGAAACUAACAAGGAUUCCCCUAGUAACUGCGAGUGAAGCGGGAAAAGCUCAAAUUUAAAAUCUGGUGGUCCUUGCGGCCGUCCGAGUUGUAAUCUGGAGAAGUGUUUUCCGCGCUGGACCGUGUACAAGUCUCCUGGAACGGAGCGUCAUAGAGGGUGAGAAUCCCGUCUUUGACACGGACUACCAGUGCUUUUGUGAUACGCUCUCAACGAGUCGAGUUGUUUGGGAAUGCAGCUCAAAAUGGGUGGUAAAUUCCAUCUAAAGCUAAAUAUUGGCGAGAGACCGAUAGCGAACAAGUACCGUGAGGGAAAGAUGAAAAGAACUUUGGAAAGAGAGUUAAACAGUACGUGAAAUUGUUAAAAGGGAAACGCUUGAAGUCAGUCGCGUCGUCCGGGGAUCAACCUUGCAUUUAUGCUGGGCGUACUUUCCGGUUGACGGGUCAGCAUCAAUUUUGACCGUUGGAUAAAGUGUAGGGGAAUGUGGCAUCCUCGGAUGUGUUAUAGCCCUUGCUCGCAUACAACGAUUGGGAUUGAGGAACUCAGCACGCCUUUAUGGUCGGGGUUUACCCACGUAACGUGCUUAGGAUGCUGGCAUAAUGGCUUUAAUCGACCCGUCUUGAAACACGGACCAAGGAGUCUAACAUGCCCGCGAGUGUUUGGGUGGAAAACCCGAGCGCGUAAUGAAAGUGAAAGUUGAGAUCCCUGUCGUGGGGAGCAUCGACGCCCGGACCAGACGUUCUCUGACGGUUCCGCGGUAGAGCGUGUAUGUUGGGACCCGAAAGAUGGUGAACUAUGCCUGAAUAGGGUGAAGCCAGAGGAAACUCUGGUGGAGGCUCGUAGCGAUUCUGACGUGCAAAUCGAUCGUCGAA
rnacentral:rRNA from 1 species